UUGACCUCGGAUCAGGUAGGGAUACCCGCUGAACUUAAGCAUAUCAAUAAGCGGAGGAAAAGAAACCAACAGGGAUUGCCUCAGUAACGGCGAGUGAAGCGGCAAGAGCUCAAAUUUGAAAGCUGGCCCCCCCGGGGCCCGCGUUGUAAUUUGCAGAGGAUGCUUCGGGAGCGGCCCCCAUCUAAGUGCCCUGGAACGGGCCGU
rnacentral:rRNA from 1 species